AUUGAACGCUGGCGGCAUGCUUUACACAUGCAAGUCGAACGGUAACAGGCCGCAAGGUGCUGACGAGUGGCGAACGGGUGAGUAAUGCAUCGGAACGUGCCCAGUCGUGGGGGAUAACGCAGCGAAAGCUGCGCUAAUACCGCAUACGAUCUAUGGAUGAAAGCGGGGGACCGAAAGGCCUCGCGCGAUUGGAGCGGCCGAUGUCAGAUUAGGUAGUUGGUGGGGUAAAAGCUCACCAAGCCAACGAUCUGUAGCUGGUCUGAGAGGACGACCAGCCACACUGGGACUGAGACACGGCCCAGACUCCUACGGGAGGCAGCAGUGGGGAAUUUUGGACAAUGGGGGCAAGCCUGAUCCAGCAAUGCCGCGUGCAGGAAGAAGGCCUUCGGGUUGUAAACUGCUUUUGUACGGAACGAAACGGUCCGGGUUAAUACCCUGGGCUAAUGACGGUACCGUAAGAAUAAGCACCGGCUAACUACGUGCCAGCCGCCGCCGUAACAC
rnacentral:rRNA from 1 species